rnacentral:rRNA from 1 species
UACGGGGGGGGCAAGCGUUGUUCGGAAUUACUGGGCGUAAAGGGUCUGUAGGUGGCUUGCUAAGUCAGACGUGAAAUCCCUCAGCUUAACUGGGGAACUGCGUCUGAGACUGAUGAGCUUGAGUGCAGGAGAGGAAUGCGGAAUUCCAGGUGUGGCGGUGAAAUGCGUAGAUAUCUGGAGGAACACCGGUGGCGAAGGCGGCAUUCUGGACUGCAACUGACACUGAGAGGCGAAAGCCAGGGGAGCAAACGGG